UCCUGUGGUCCGCCGACCCCGGGGGCGUGAACUUCCUGUUCCUUGUUGGUCUGUUGCAGGAAGGACACCUGAGGGCCUUGCUCCUGGAGCUUCUGCAGAGGGGCUUUCUGCCCCGUCACAAUGAGCUGCUCCGAGAACACAGCCUCCCCCUGCCCAAGGUCAAGGGCGUCUCCUUCGACCAGGCCUGGAUGGACCUCUCCGAGGGGCACCUGCUGCUGACGGUUCCGGAGGAGUAGCCGGGCCUGAGAGGGCCAGUCCCUCCCACUGCCACGCACAACGGCCACGUCCCCAGUGGGAAGCUCCGGCCCCAGUGGGAAGCUCCGGCCCCAGUGGGAAGCUCUGGCGCAAUAAAGGCGAGUCCU
rnacentral:lncRNA from 1 species